AUGGGCGAGGCCGUUAGUCGCCUUUCCUGGCCCGCAGAGCACCUGGGCCCGCGCGGAUCGCCUCCCCCUACGGCGGCCCGGGGGCUCUCGCAGGCCUCAGGCUGCAGACAGUUGUCUCCCCUUUUUGCUGAAAAGGAAACUGAGGACUUUUCCCACCUCCCUCAGGUGGGAGUCCUGCCUGGGAGGACCACACCAGAGAGACCCGUGCCUGGGGGGAAGAUCACAAAGGCUGCAGAGUGCUCUCAGGUUCCGAGCCCAGCCUCCCACAGGCAGCUCGCUGCUUCCCAGCACCUGUGUCAAAAGGAAAACGUGCCAUCAGGUGGUACGGUCAGCUAAGUUGCAAACUGUUCAAAUCUCCCAGUUUUCUCACUGACAUCCUUGAAUUCUGGCUGCCAAAAUCCCACCCAGGACCAAGGCCAUCUUUGGGGAUCAGCAACCCUGGGAGGAGCUGUCCCUGCCCAGAUGACAGAGCAUUGUAAAAUGUCAAAAGUUUAAAAACAAGUCCAAGCCCUCUGCCCAUUUUAAAUCGGUGGUCCUUUGGUGUGGUUGAGCUACAGGCAUUGUUUCCCUCCGGGGCUUAACAGUGUCAUCCUGACACAAGGUUUGCGGUUAUUUUCUCCUGGUUAAUGAGUGACCUUUCCCUCUCUUCUAUCCUUCAGUCCCCUGAAGUUUUGAGCCUGGAUGAAAUCCAACUUACCUCCUUUUUUGUUGUUGUUGCCUGUGCUUUUGGUGUCAUACACGUGAAAUCAUUGCCAAAUCAAAUGCCUUGAAGCUUCCCCCCUGUUUCUCCAAAGAGUUUAAUAGUUUUUGCUCUGACACUGGGGCACUGGUCCACUGAGGGUGGACUUUUGCACACAGCAGGAGGCACAGGUCCAGCUUUAUCCCGGCGUGCGGGUAUCCAGUUGUCUGGGUGCCGCGUGUUCAUCGGUGCUGUUUCUGCUCCUGCUCUGCCACUGUCCUCUGCGGUCCCUGACUUACCAAGUCAAUCCUAGCAGAUGUGGUUGUGGAAUCGCAGAGCCCUGCCCUGCUGGGAAACGAACUCACCCCAGAGUCUGGUGUUUGUAUACAGUUGUUUUUGUCCUCGGCCUUGCAGUCCCCGGACAAAAUAGUGUUGUCCCCUUCGUUAGAUGGGCCCUUUCUCCCUUCCCCUUUCACUGAAUGAUGUCAUACAUUUGUAAUUCAAUUAGAAUCAUUGUCACAGAGGC
rnacentral:lncRNA from 1 species